GAACCUUCGCCGGAAGUGUUUCUAGCUCGCGAAGAACCUUCUCAAAGUCUGCGACCAAUCUCUCAGCUAAGGUUCGAGAGAAAUCUUCUCGAAUCACCACUCGGAGGACGGUGACGUGUUCUGCAUCCGCGGGCAUCGUGUAGGCCGGAACGAUCCACCCGAAGCGGCGGAGAGUUUCGGCCACUUCGAACUCGUCGUGGCGGCUACUGUCUUUUAGAGAAAACGCCACUAAAGGAACACCGUUUUCUUUGGAGACAAUGUUGAAACGUCCCGUUUUCUCUAAUCCUUCUCUUAAGACCAUCAUGUUUUCGCGGCAAUUAUCCAUCACGUUACGAUAUCCCUAAACCCACAAAAAAUUAUCAAUCAAUAAUAUUACUUUACAAAGUUACGCAUGAUAAUAUAUUUUACUCACUUAUAUGUAGUUUUCAACAAGACCAGUUCAACAUUUUGGGGACUUUGAGACUACAAAAAGCUAUAUAUUUUAAAAAAGUUUUACUAAAUUUUCUCUUUUAAAAAUUUAGAAAUAAUAUUUUUGAACAUUUUAUAAUAUAUACACAAAAUAUCUUAAAAUUUCAACCUAAUAGUUAAAAAAAAAUAGUUGAAGAAGUUUUGGAGAUUUUAUCGGAAGAACAUCGGAUUAGACGCAGAAUGGUCGCACCACUUGUUCCCUCCUAAACCAGCACUGUUCAGUCAUUUUGAGUUACUAACCUCGAAUCCAAGACGAAUCAGCUGGUAGUACUGAGCAAUCACUUGACUCGAACCUAGUUUAUACAAGCAUUAACAAAUCAUUAGUUAUGCAUACAAUAUAUAAUAUUUUUAUACAAAUAUAGAAAUGGUAGUGUAAUAUGCUACCUUUGGAGAAGUUGAGAGUGAAGGUGGGUUGAUCAGCGCCGAGAUAAUUGAUGUGGAAGAUAAGUUCUUCCGGCAGAUCAGAUUUGGUUCUCCACACAACCCAACCGAUUCCGGCAUAAACCAAACCGUAUUUGUGACCACUGACAUUUAUGCUCUUAACCAAUGGUAACCGGAAGUCCCACUCCAGCUCCGGAUACAAGAACGGUGCAAUAAACCCACCACUCGCUGCAUCCACGUGAAUCCCCGUAUCCCAUCUGCGAAUUAAAGAAAAAAUUUUAAACCGGAAAUGAACCGGUUAAAAUCGAUUAAUUAAUAGCUACAUGUUAGUUCAAUUACCUGGUUAGCUUGUUUUUCUCGACUAGGAGGUCAUUGAGGAGCUUAACGUCUUCGAACUCUCCGGUUAGCCUCGAACCUAGAAUGGCUGCUACACAAAUGGUGUUCUCGUCUACCAUUUCGACUGCCUUUUCAGGGUCCAUCACGUAGUAUCCUUCUCUUAGCUUCACUUCCUUAAGCUCCACCUCGAAAUACCUUGCGAAUUUCUCCCAGCAAACCUAUAUUAAACCGGAUAUUAGUAAACCAUAGACCUUAACCGGAAAUAUCAUCUUUUGGUUUAAUAUUUCAAUUCUCUGGUUGGUUUAGCUCUGUAAUUUGCGAAAGAAAAAAAAGAGAACUAAGACUCCAUUAGAAUUUUCUGGUUUGGGGUUUCAGCUUGCGGUUUAGAUUUCUGUUUCAAGAUAGAGAAAUAAAGAGCUAAACCGGUUUAAUCUUGUGCUUUGUUACCUGAACAUUAGCUCCGGUUACGAUAUUGGGCUUAUCAUAAGGAAGCCCUUGGGCCUUACGCUUAUUCUGCCACUGUCUCUUAAAAGCCAACCCGGCCAACAUAAUCGCCUCCGACGAUCCCACGGUGCCGACACCAACCGCAGCCUCGCCGUCAUCGAGCGGCGCGUUAAAGAGACGCGCAAUCAUGUUGACGCAUCGGUUCUGAAGCUCGGUGGUGACAGGGUACUCGUCCAUGUCAACGUAGUUCUUGUUGAUGGAUUCCAUCAUGAGCUUGUCACACUCUGGCUCCAUCCACGUGGUUACGAAAGAGGCUAGGUUUAGCCUAGGGUUACCGUCGAGCAUUAGCUCAUCGUUGAUGAUCUGAUACGCUGCUUCCUUAGGGAUAGAGUUCUCAGGCAUCUCGAAUCUGAUGAUGAUGAAAACAUUAGGUUAAAAAUAUAAAAGCAUAUUAACGACGUGACAAGUCAUGCAAUGAAACGUUACUAUUAGUUUCAUGCAAUAUUUCAUAGCUCAUAUUCUCACCGUGGGAGAGAGUUGCGGACGUAACGAGAAGCAAAAGUUGAAUGGAUUGAAACAUCAGUUUCAGAAGCUGUCUUAGACAAAACCAUCUUCUUUCAAUUCACUCGAAUUGUCUAUGCAAACUUUGAAUGAUAUAUGGGUUUGUAAUGUUUAUGUUUGUAGUUGAAGAAUGUGUGGAAUGAGAAGACGAUAAACAAAUGGUUUAUAUAGUGGAAGAGAGUGGUUCAUUUCGUUUCGUUUUGCGACGUGAGAGGAAGCAUCUAUGGUCUUCGUUUAUGGGCUCCUUUGUAACUUUUCUCCUACCGAUGACUUUUCAUUAAUAUAUAAUAUCAAAGACCAACGAAUCAUUGCUUUCAAAAACUGCAUGAGUAUUAUAAUUAAAUAAAAUAAUAACAGUUGACCGUUAAAAGAAACUUUAAUCUAGUGAUUUAGAGAUUUCUACUAUCAUAUUUCAAUUCACUACAAGAAAACAUCAAGGAUUCUGAGGGAAAAAAUCGUCGGAAUUUCGUCGGAAUAUCGUUAUUCCGACGCAAUUCCGACGAAAUACGUCGUCGGAAAUAAUUCCUCGGAAUUUCUUUUUUCCUCUGAAAUCCCUCGGAAUUUUCCGACGGAAUUCCGAGGAAAUAAAUUUCCGAGGAAAUUCCGAGGAUCCCUUGUUUGUCGGAAAAGUCCUCGGAAUAUACCGAGGUAGAACUUCGUCGGGAUAAUUCCUCGGAAGUUCAUCGAUCGAUGCGUGUUUGGACAUAUAUACAUCGAUCGAUAGGAGUAUACCGACGGACUUUUUCCUCGGUUUAUUCCGAGGAACUGUAUGGUCUGGUUUGAGGGGUGCAGUGGCGCUCUCACUUUCUUUAUCUGUGAAGGUUAGUUUUCAAGAACAUUGUCAAUCUUGUUCUUGUGUCUCUUGAAUUUAUUUUGCCACAUUGCUUCAGUCUUGAAUUAACUUAUUCUUAAUCAUUUGAUUCAGCAAUCAAGCGGAAAUUCAUUUCUCAGCAGGGAGACAGGAACAUUGGUAAGUUCAGAAAAUUGUCUGCAAGGUGUUAUGCCUAAAUGAAUUAUAGAAGACUUAUCUUUUCGGUCUCUUGAUAUUCUCAGUUCUUUUGCAGUUUAUUUUCUUCACAGGUGGAAUUGUGUUUCUAACUCUGAUAGUUAAUGGUUCCACUACCCAAUUUGCUCUGCGCCUUCUUCGAAUGGACGGUUUACCAGCCACAAAGGUCAUAAUCUUUUCACAGACUUCAUUUCCAACUUAAGUAUGAAAUGCUUAAACCCUUUUAUUUAUUCGAAAUUCUCCUUUUUUCUUGUUGACAGCUACGAAUCUUGGAUUAUACAAAGUAUGAAAUGCUGAAUAAGGCCUUACAAGCGUUUGAAGAUCUAGGAGACGAUGAAGAGCUAGGACCUGCUGACUGGCCUACAGUUGAAAAAUAUAUUUCAAGCUUAAAAGAUUCAGAAGGGGAACAAGUUCAUCCUCACAGUGGCUCUAAGACUGGAAAUCUUGACAGUACGAGUUUAAAGGACAUACGUAUACGAUUCUUAAAUGGUAACUAUCAUGUCAUUUUCGAACCAAUUACACUAUCCCAUUAGUCAAAUUAUUUACCCUUAGUUCAAUCAUCAGGUGUUCAGGCAGCUUACUGGGAGAUGCUUGAUGAGGGAAGAAUAUCUGAAAGUACAGCUAAUAUAUUGAUGCGGUCAGUGGAUGAGGCCUUGGAUCGGGUUUCUACGGAGUCUUUAUGUGACUGGAGAGGUCUAAAAGAGCAUGUUAAGUUCCCCGGUUACUACAAUUUUCUUCAUUCUAAACUUAUCCCAGGGAAGUUGGUCAUAUACUUUGCUGUUGAAAGACUCGAAUCUGCAUGCUACAUUUCCGCUGCAUUUCUUCGCGCACAUACAAUUGCGAGGCAGCAACUGUAUGAUUUUAUAGGUAUGUAUGACUGGACCAUCUUUGUUGAUCUAUCAGAGAUAUUGUUUGCAAGUACCCUACUUUUGUCUCUUAGUUAUCUUUCUUCUUUAUACAGGGGAGAGUAGUAUCGGCUCUACUGUAAUCAAGGAGAGUGAAACCGAAGGAGCAGAAGCUAAAGAGUUUUUGGAAAAAGUUCGAUCUUCACUUCCUCAGGUUGAUAGUCGUGUCACUUAUUUAUGGUGAUUUAUCUUUCUCGCGAUGAACCACAUAUAAUCUUUGAUCAACUUGGUGUGUAGGUUCUCCGUGUUGUGAAAACGAAACAAGUAACAUAUUCAGUGCUGAAUCAUUUACUCGAAUACAUUCAAAACCUUGAGAAGAUUGGCUUGUUGGAAGAAAAAGAAAUCGCUCAUCUUCAUGAUGCUGUCCAGGUACCAAAUGAAAGAAUCAUAUUCUUUCAACACAUGGUCAUGUCUCUUUUUUCUAAUUUUACCUCUCUCUCUCUCUCUCUCUCUCUCUCUCUUUGCGCAGACUGGCUUGAAGAAGCUUUUGAGAAACCCUCCAAUAGUAAAACUUCCAAAGUUAAGCGACCUGAUCUCCUCACAUCCGUUAUCUGGUGCUCUUCCUGCUGCAAUAUGUGAACCUCUAAAACACUCGAAGAAAGAAACAAUGAAGCUGCGUGGUGUGACGCUUUAUAAAGAAGGUUCAAAGCCAACUGGAGUCUGGCUUAUUUGUGACGGUAUUGUUAAGGUAAACCCAAAACUUAGUCAUAAUAUCGAAAGGUUCAUGAUCUCCUUCAUCACUGAAAGUUAUCAUGAUAAAUCAUAUUACAGUGGAAAUGCAAAAGCUUAGGCAACAAUCACUCGCUGCAUCCAACUUUCUCUCAUGGUAGUACAUUGGGACUCUACGAAGUCCUCACUGGGAAGCCAUACAUGUGCGACAUGGUUACAGAUUCUGUGGUUCUUUGCUUCUUUAUCAGUAGUGAUAGAAUACUAGCUUUUGUACAUUCGGAUUCUACCAUUGAAGAUUUCCUUUGGAAGGUACGUCUCUAUAUAAAUCCAUUAAAGAGAAACAUCCUCUCGUGAUUGUCAACUUCUUUCCUGUUUCUUCUUUCUCCAGGAAAGUGCAUUGGUGCUUCUCAAACUCCUGCGUCCUCAGAUAUUUGAAAAAGUGGCAAUGCAUGAACUACGAGCCCUUGUUUCAGCUGAAAGCUCAAAACUGACAACAUAUGUAUCUGGAGAAUCAAUCGACAUCGAUUACAACAGCGUCGGUUUGUUAUUAGAAGGAUUCAUAAAACCUGUUGGUAUCCAAGAAGAGCUUGUACCAUCUCCUGCUGCAUUGCUACCUUAUAACGAGAAUCAAAGCUUCCGUAACGCAUCAGAAGCUUCAGGUAAACAAAAAGUCAACACAGAAUACAAAGAAGAAUCAAACCCUCUUAUCAAAAACUGUGUGUUUGGUGUUUUGAUCACAGGUAUCAUGAGAGUUAGUUUCUCAAGACAAGCAACACAAUACAGUGUGGAGACAAGAGCAAGAGUAAUCAGCUUCAACACUGGAGCAUUUGGAGCUCAUAGGACUCUACAACGAAAACCAUCUUCGUUGUCAUCGCAAAUUGGGACAAGUUCCGAGCACCAGCUCCAGAGAUCAUCUAGUAAAGAACACAGAGGUCUCAUGAGCUGGCCUGAAAGUAUUUACAAAACUGAACAACAAGAAGAGAUCAAUAGAAAGGCGUUAAACUUAUCUGAACAAGCAAGACAACUUAGCAUUUUCGGCAGCAAGGUAAAAAAGAUAACACACUUUGAGAUGAGUUAUGAGAUUGUCAACUUCUCGACUAACAAGAAACGUUCUGAAUCAGGUUAAUCUGUUCACAAGGAGUGCAAGUUUCGGAGGGAUCAUCAACAACAAGCCACAAGAUAACGUAUUGUACAAGAAACAUCCAUUAGACGCAGCGAAAUCAGAAAGCUCCAUGGCCACCAGGGAGCAGGUUGAGACCAGGAAGUUUGUGUCUCAGCUUCCUGCACACGUAGCCUCAGGAGAGAGCAGCACAAGAAGGAAACCAAUGGCGGAGUCGAGCGAUGAUGAAGAGGAAGGAAUCAUUGUGAGGAUCGAUUCUCCGAGCACAAUCGUUUUCAGGAAUGAUAUGUGAGGGCAUUGAGAUGUUUUGUAACAUAAUAAAAAGAAGAAAAAUGUUAGCUUACAGAGUUAUUGUGCAAAAGAAUAAAAGGCAAAACAACAGACGCUGUUUUGAUGAAGGUUUGCUAGAAACAUUGACAAAUCCACAGACACCGAUCUUUUUGUAUGCGCUUAUAUAUUUCCAUGUUAUUUAUUCAACAUAUCAAGGUUUUUUUUUCUGUCAACUAACAAAUGGUGAGUAGAUGGGGUAAGUAAUGAAAGUCUAAAAGUUAUAUGGGUUGAGAACUAUAUUUUUAAAAAAUUAACGUAUUUAUAUACCCAUAAAUUAGGUACUAUAAAAUUGUAUUUAUUUAAAUUUAUUCAAAUUACCAAUCAUCAACAUGAGAUCAUAAUUAAGGAAAAUUUGAAACCAAAAAUAAUCAGAGCAGCAUGAAAGAAAAGGGUUUCAAAGGUAGCUUAAUUAGAGAUAAAAACAACAAAAUAUUAACUCAUUAAACUUUAUGAGCAAAUCUUGUUCUUGUUAGUCUUCUUUGUCUCCACAACCUUCUUCCAAUAUGCCGUAACUUCCCUCGUCGUCUCCUCCUCCGUCUUCUUAACACCUUUAGCUUUUCCAUUAGCCAUCUUGGCGUGAACCUUCGCCGGAAGUGUUUCUAGCUCGCGAAGAACCUUCUCAAAGUCUGCGACCAAUCUCUCAGCUAAGGUUCGAGAGAAAUCUUCUCGAAUCACCACUCGGAGGACGGUGACGUGUUCUGCAUCCGCGGGCAUCGUGUAGGCCGGAACGAUCCACCCGAAGCGGCGGAGAGUUUCGGCCACUUCGAACUCGUCGUGGCGGC
rnacentral:lncRNA from 1 species